rnacentral:rRNA from 1 species
GACAGAGGGGGCAAGCGUUGCUCGGAAUCACUGGGCGUAAAGGGCGCGUAGGCGGGAUGGCGGGUCAGUCGUGAAAUCUCUCGGCUCAACCGAGAAACGUCGGCUGAUACUGCCGUUCUUGAGGGAUGCAGAGGAGACUGGAAUUCCCGGUGUAGCGGUGAAAUGCGUAGAUAUUGGGAGGAACACCAGUGGCGAAGGCGGCUCACUGGACCGGAACUGACGCUGAGACACGAAAGCGUGGGUAGCAAACAGG